rnacentral:rRNA from 1 species
UACGUAGGGUCCGAGCGUUGUCCGGAAUUACUGGGCGUAAAGAGCUCGUAGGUGGUUUGUCGCGUUGUUCGUGAAAACUCACAGCUCAACUGUGGGCGUGCGGGCGAUACGGGCAGACUAGAGUACUGCAGGGGAGACUGGAAUUCCUGGUGUAGCGGUGGAAUGCGCAGAUAUCAGGAGGAACACCAGUGGCGAAGGCGGGUCUCUGGGCAGUAACUGACGCUGAGGAGCGAAAGCGUGGGGGAGCAAACAGG